AUUUUUUUGAUGAUUUAUAAAUUUGUUAUAAAUAAAUUAACAAAUUUAUAUUUAAAAUAAUUCAAUAAAUGUUGUUGCGCACGCGUCGCCCGUUGAAGUGCCCGACCGCACGAGUCAGCUAGUCCAGCGGAUCGAGAUUAUUAUGUUGCUAUAGGAAAAGCGUUGUUUGCUUUAUAUCGAUUUACGAGCUGUCAAGUUCAUGUAUUAGUGUUUUGGAAUAAGUUCCGUUUUCCCCCUUACAUCGCGAGUGUUAUUUCUCGCGUGCAACCGUGAAUGUGUGUGCGUGUGAGUGACGGAGAGCGUCGCGACGUGACAAUAUAAAUAAGAAAUUUUACAUUAUACAUUUCUUUAGAGGUUAAAUAUUAAUAUUGUAAUUAUGAAAUAAUUCUGUUGCGGACUCGCGAUCUAUCAAUCAUGUUCGUGGCCAUCGAUGUUCGUCGGAGCUUCGAAUCGCCAACAUAUUCUUCCAAGCAUUCGAGGCUUCGGUGAUUUUCCUCGGGACGAGCGCGUGAUUGCUGUGUCGAGGAACGGGCCGACUCGAUGAGCACGGCCGGGUCCGGGAUCGUUCAGCCUCGCGCGGCGUGACAUCGCGCGACCCGAAUGGCUCGUCGUCCGUCGAGCUCUGCGACGGCGAGCAGACUCCGCCGCGAUCGGUUUUCGCGGAGGACAGUCGGCCCUCAACAUACGAAAAAGUUAGUCGCGUAACCCGGUGGUACUACGGAGAUCAUUAUCGUCGAUUAAUUUGGACUGCAAGGACCUCGCGAGGUCGACUUCGCUGUGGUGCGGCGGAUGUGCUACACCGGAAUGCUGUUCUUUGCGGGGCCGUCUCUACUCGCUCAGCGCGCGCUAUCGCGCUAUCACUUCAACUACUGUUUAGUUUAAGAAAGGGAGUGCGUUCAGUGCAAUAGCAAGGACUUGCUUUCAAUCAUCUUUUCGUCCGCUCCGUUAUUGGAGCUUUCCUUCCUCGUUCUCCCCACGGACCUCCGGCAACGAGAUAGCGCGCGAACGAGCAGUUAAGCGCAGCGAUCCCCCGGACAACGGGACUUGAUCACUCGCGAACAAAUUAAAAAAAAUAUUAAUAAGAUAAUUUUAUAAUACGUAACAAAUAAAUUUAAAAUAUAAAUUUCUUUUAUAUUGGUAAAACCUAACACAUCAAAAAAAUUACGAGUCUAAAAAAAGCAAAUGAUAAUGUGAAAUCGGUAUUGAAUUAAGAUUGAUUCUUUGUCAAUUUUAUUAUUAGUUCUUAGAAUAUUCAGAUUUACUUAAAAAACAAAAUAUCUUUUUUGGAUUUAUAUGUGGUUUUUUAUUAGAUUAUUUCUCGUAUGUCUAUUCGACGUAUUUCUGUCAAAUCGACAUCGAAUCGAUAUUGAACAAAAACGUAUAAGAAUGUUGAAAAUCGUGAAAAAAAGAUUAUAUUGUUGUUACGUUUAAGAGACUUCACGCUGACCUUUUAGAAAUAAAUAAGUUGGAUGAAAACAUCCUGGGGCUUAUCUGCGGUCAAGGGGUGGAGGAGCAAAAAAAAAUUUCACGGGAUGAGGGUGUCUAGUGCUCAUAAUUAGAAAGAGCCACACUAAAGUCAUUAAAAUUUAACGGGGGUCAGGUCUCGUCGAAAUAAAAUUUUAAAUAUUUACGCAGAGUCCCCCCGACUCUUGACAGUUUAAGAACGGAAGUUCUUUUACGAUCGUCGAUAAGCGCCAGAUGCAAUUUAGAUUAGCAAAAAGAGAUGAGGGCGCGUUUGAUUUCUAAAGUAAUAAUUAAAAAAAUAUAUAUACAACGUUUAUCGAAAGAGAACCAGACUACUUUGAAAAACGUUUGGAAACCAUACAUUUUUUUUCUUGCCCCUUUUGAAGUCAAAUAUGACGAUCAACUCUGGAAAACAGAGCGACUGGAAAACAUAAAAUUCCCAUUUCCUUUCCCUUUUUGAUAAGCAUUUCUAAAAAUUCCAAUUCCCUCCCUUGACUGUUAGAAGUAAUUCAGGCGGACCAAGAAAGGAUGGGCCAAUAGUUGUACACCAAAACGAAUAAUUUUGACUAAAAGGGGAAGUAGCCUGCCCAAUAGAAAAACCUAAAAAAUCACCUGUAAUACCACUUCCAAAAAGAAUCCUAUCAAUCAAUACACUUGAGCAGCUCUUACCAUCUACUCACUUUGAGAUAAAAUUUGAGUGAGUAAGCGUGGCAAAAAACCCCGGAGUCGCGGGUCACCUAGUUUCGUACCACAUCUGAGAAAUUGAGAAUGACCGCGAGUACAUUAAAUGCGUGUUUUUAUAUAAAGUGCAAAUCACCCUAAGCGCGUGAAUCCUAUCUGCAACCCCGCUUUUCACGUCAAAUCGACGAGAUUAUUCCAAAGAAAGGAAAAGAGGGACCCUUAAAUAUAUCCGAGCAGGUUUUCCAGAUACCCAGCAAGUAGUAAGUCGUCUUAUUCAUUUUUAAUCGGGUUCCUUCUUCUUUUCUCUAUUUAUUAUUAAUUUCAAAUUAAAAUUAUAGUGGAAAACCACUUCUCCCCAUAAAAGAAAUUGGUGGAACAAAAAAUGGUCUCGACGGAGAAGAAUCAGGCGGCUCCGUGCUUCCCUAAACGCGGUGUAUUUAGAAUACCGAAAUUCGAUAGUAACUCCUUCUACCUUUACACUUUCCUUUUUCCUCGCGGAUCCCGGGUGCGAUCCCUGAGCUACCCUCACAUCUUCCUCCUUUUUCAUGGAUCUUGAGUGCGAUCCCCGAGCUACUUUUGCGUUUAUUCUCCUUCUCCUUCUCCUUCGUACUCUCCGAUCAGUUCCCCAGAACCAAAAGGUACCACCCUCAUUUUUACCUGCAUCUUUCGGCCCUGAUAUCGAAAUCUUGGACGAAUUCCCCUCUCCUUUGCACGGGCCGCAUUAUUACCACUAUGAUGGUACCUAAAAAUCACUUGAUUGAUCUAUUUCCGAUGAAAACAGACCCCCUACUCCGACUUUACCGUGACUUCGCCUUUGCUCCAGAAGCAAUAAAUCCCGACGUUUUAUAUUUUAUCGUAUCUUCUCUCGUUCCCACAGAUUUUAUUCCCGUCUUUACGCCUUAUUACUGUUAUCCUUUUGCAGUCCCCAUUGAUUUUUUAAUAACCUUUUCGCACCAUUUACUGCCACUUCAGAAGAAAUCAAAUAAUUCAGCCAACUCGAGCAUGGAACUUUGCAAUACCUUCAUUAUUGCAAAAAAAGGAAGAAUAUGUAAAAUCACAAUCUGCAGUGCUCAAUUAUGUUAAACUAUUUACCUACAUAUAUUCCAAUUUCCAUUAAUAUAAUAAAUAUUGUAACGAUAUUUGUUAGAUAUGAUCUACAUUUUAAAUCUAGUUGUGCGACCGCUAAUUAAAAAAAAAUAUUAUGAAAUAAACUUCACUCAAUUUCGAACUUUCCAAUGAAUUUAAGGAGAAUUAGUAUAAUUUAUCAUUCAGCUGUAAUUAGCUUUAACAGCAAGACAUAAUAAAUGAUGUAACGAGCCGUUAUCCACAACUAGGAUGAGCCGGGUAAAAACACAUGAGGCCGUUACCCUCUACCUCGAGUAAGGCCCCUCUACCCGCUUCUCUAAUCCCCUCGUCACCGAGUGGAGGGUAUAUAAGCUUUCCACCGACAACCAGAAGGCAGAUUCUUCCGACUAGCAAAGUGAGCUAGUCGUUCCUCCGGGUGAACUGAGCCCGGUUUUUUAGAGUGCGAAUUGAGCACCGAACCUAACCUAACCUUGCAGCCGCCAGGGACACCCGUGGCUGCACCGGUCCGAGACCUGUCCGUGGCAUUGGAACGGAUGGAGCCGAAGCCGAAAAGCGACCGAGGAGACAUCGACGUCGGGGCCGAUGCCGAGACAAUGCCAACGCCGAGAUCGCCGAGAGCCGAGGCGGGCGAGCCGACGCCGACCCCGAGACAGCGAGCAGAUGCGCCGAGCGCGCACACAGCCGGCGACGAUGAGUCAGCCGAGAGAGCCGACAACCACCCGAGGAUUCCCCGAGGGGGGCGAGACAGCGACGACGAAGACGGCAUCCCGACCGCGUCGCAAUUUGUCGAAAUGUAACCAAAAAGACAGUGCGAAAAGCGUUGCACGAAUCGCGCGUAUAAAUAUUGUAAUAAUCAUGUUUAUUUUGUUAAGAUGUAUUUGUUUGUUAAAACAUGUUUAGUUUUUCUCGUUCCGGUAGCCGCGCGAGACGCCACAAGCCGUGCGAGAAUGUGUGUGAAAAGCAUGCGUGUGACCGCGUGUAUUAUUGAGUAAACGUGCGAUAGAAAUAAGUUUUGUAAUGUGCAAUCGCGAAAAAUAUAUAUUUAUAUUCAUAAGAUUAAGUUUAUUAAAUUCAUAUUCUCUGUUACGAGCGCCAGUAAAAGCUUGUCAGCAUAUUAUUAGUAUAUUCUUUGUAACGAGCGUUAUUAAAGGCUUGUUAAUAUAAUAUUAUUAUAAACAAUUAUUUUGUAAGAUCCGAUCGCUAUCCACAUUACAGAAAGCGCGACAGGAACGACGAGUAAAGGCAGGUACCGUCGCACAGGGCCCCUGGCGUAUAGGCAACCCGGCUGACGCGAUAAAGUGACAGCUUGAGGUUAGGGCGCCCAUGGUCGUAAAUCUGGCAUAGCGUCAUGUAUCAUAGACGCAUUGCUGAGCAGGUAAUUAUCGAGAUCCCAAGCUCAGUUACGCUGUAUUUACGAAUACAGUGGAGAAAUGUCAUAUAUGACAUAUUGAUUACAAUUACGGUCUCAGAGGCCACCGAAUGGGAUAGCGAUAGUUACUUGGGAAGUUUUUGACAUUACCGUAGGAAAUGCGGAAUGAAUUUUCAUUUAUUUCAUUAAAUUUAUAUUUGUUUCACUGUUCUUAAUCAGUUUAACAUAAGUUUAAGCUAGUACGCAAAGGCUCAGUAUAUUGACCAAUCGAAAGUUUCGUUUUCACAAACAAGCUCUAAAUUAGUUAUUUCUCGAAAAACUGCUUUGUUGCAGUAAUACUUUAUUGUUUUACACGCUGAUAAUGACAGCGCAUACAUUUGCGACAUUUUAAUUGCGAAAUUGUAAUUACGUGCAAAUCUGAGGCUUUAGCUUUGCGUUCAAACGUACCAUAAGAUGCAGAACGCCAUGGUGUCGAUAUGCGCAUGCGACCCCAUGGCGUGCGAGCGAGAGGGACGCUUCGUGUGACUGAGAUAACCUCUCGAUGCUCGCCGAUUGGCGAGGAGACAAUGCAUGACAACAACGAGCCAAUCGAGGAGCAUCGAGGUGGGGAGUGAAUGCAGGAACAACGGCUUGGCGUCCCCUGAAAAAAAGUCUGCCUACGUACUAGGAAAAGCACGGACGUGCUUCUCUCGAGUUCCCGCGUAAUUAAUACGCGUAAUUAGUGCGAUAGUAGUAACGGGCGCGUAUUCGUUAGAAUUUCGCGAGACAACCCGCAAGCUAUCGUCUUGGGGCAGUUUUUCCGCGUAUUAGUCGCAACGCGUAAAAGAAUAGCGAUUUUCCGCGACCACGUUGUGCGAGAGACGUGGUCGGAAAGAAUUUGCGCACGUAAUACGCGACGGGGCACAGACAGUGUAUUCGUGUGCGUGCGUGAAUAAAUGAAAUGUUCAAUAAAAGCAGAGUAUGGUGAAAUUCAUUGAAUAAGUGCGUUAAUUAUUGUGCAACUCUAACAUCUUUCCCGGACGAGUCCAUUGUCUGGCGGGAAUUGCGUCAUCCCACGCCAUCGAGGCAGAACGACCUUCCGAGGACAGGACGAUAAAAGAGAGGUUCCAGAACAGCUCUAGAGUGCAUUCGAGCGAGGGGCUUCCCAAUUUUCAGAGAUAUCAUACGGAAUUCCGGUCCGGCCAUUCCGAGGGCGAGGCCGAGUCCACACCUUGGCGGCGAGGUAUACCACCGACCUGGCGACCGUGUUAACAUCAUAAACCGACGGAGACCAUCGGGCCUGCACCGAUUCGCGACUUGUCAAUAGCCAUUGAGAGGAUGCAGCCGACGCCACAGCCGACGCCGAGCGCAGCCCGAAGGCCGAGCAACCGAGGAAACGACACCGACGGCCGCGCCGAGGAGGGCGACGCCGACGCCGAUAGCCGAAGAACCGGAGACCACCGAGACGGCAUCGGAGACACCGACAAACAACGUGACAGCGCGCAAGUGCGACGAUGACAAUGACAUUCCGCCCGCGUCACAGUUCGUCACACUGUGAAGUGACAUUGUACAUAUAUUAUAUAGUGUUUGUGUUAAUUAAAGAUAUUAUUCGUUUUAUAUUUUAUAUACUAGUUAUAAGUAAAACUGUAACGUUUACGCAACCGCCACGAACGCCGAGAAUAGCGCGAUGUAUCCGCGAAGAGCGUCGUGUGAAUGGGUAUGCAUGUGUGAAAGAACGCGUGUAAUUAAGCCGCGUGUAAAAAGAUAUAUAUACGUACACGUUAGUACGCUUAUUCUGAUAAUAAAGAGAUAUUUAUUUUAUUUCGUUGAAGCGCACGAAGUCGCAACGCGAAUGCGCCACGUAUUAUGUUUAGAUAAAGAUUUUGUAAAACAUUAAAAAUAGUUUGUUAAACUGUAAUGGUUUAUUUCCGUGUAAAACACGUUGUAUUAUUAUUAUCAUUUAGCUCAGAUCGACAAGCGAACGAGCCGACAUCCAGCCGCGAACGGGCACGAGGCACCGGAGCGUCUAAGCGACAGGCAACCCGCCGAGCGCGAGUUUUGACAGGUGCAAGUUAGGAAGCCCAUGGACGCGAGACACAUACUUUGAUAUGUACGCGAGACGCGUGCAUCAGUCGAUUUCCAUCGAGAUUCCACGCUCGCUGGCAUUAUAUUUGCAUAUCCGGUGGAUGAAUAUAGCCUACCACGUAAUUAUUAUUAUUUCUAUUGACUACCAGCCAGUUGGAAUCGCGACGAUAACAUGGGAGGUCUACGACGCGUUAGUCGAGCCUAAUAUUUAAUUUCUUAUUGUUUUGUACUAAUUUGCAUUGAUUUCCAUUAAUUAUUGCAUGUAAAAACGCUUCGAAGCGUGUAAGUUAUGCGCGAGCUAAGGUCUGUGAAUUCAGAUUAAUGUUCAUUUAUUAUUUCAUAUAUAGCGACUAAAUUCGUGUUUAUUCUUUUGAUUACUAUUAGUUAGAGCUAAUUAGCUUUUAAUUUGCAAGUUGCGUGCAAUUAAUUAAGCGCACAUUAAAGAUUACUAAAGCUUAAGCCUCAUUUGAGAGGCAGACAAGAACAGACCUAAACUCGAAUAUAGAUUUGCAAACGCCGCUUGCCACCAUGAGAAUUCGAGAUACCCAUCGCAUCGCGCAUGCGAGUUAUAGUGUGCAAGCGAGAUGGGAGACCGUGCGAGUGAGAUAACCACUCGAGGUUCCCCGAUUGGUGGAGACAACCGCGAUAGCAACAACGGGCCAAUCGGAGAACUCGAGAGGGGGAAUGCAUGGGAAACGGCACGCUGGAAGCGUCGCUAAAAGAAGUCUGCAUCGAGAUCUCAAGGGAGACGGACGUGCGUGCGAGACCUGUCUUCCCGCGCGAUUUCGAGAUCGUACUACGAUUAAUAAGUGCGCAGGCAGUAACGGGCGCGACAUUACGUGUACGCGACAACACCCGCGAGCCUCGCCGGCAGGCUAUUUCCGCGUGAUAAUAAUCACGAGCGCGUUAAAUAUCGCGAAGGUCGAGACACGUUGUGCGAGAGGAGUGUCGAGACAAAGGAAACCGCGACACAUGCGUGGGCGAUAUUAAAGCCGUUGCGUAAAUGUGCGUGUGAGUGAUUAUAUUAGAUAAAUCGAGUUGUGUGAUACUUGUGAGAGCAUUAUUUAUUCGUGCGACCCAAAUAAUUACUUUCUAGGCGAGUCUCUCAUUUUGGCGGGAGAUUGCGUCAUCCCACGCGGACCACGCAGGAAGGAUUCCCAGAGGAUUGCAGCAGCGAGGGGGACCUCAGACGAGCUCGAGGGAAUACGACGAGUGAGGCCUUCCGCAAUUUGCAGCCGAAUAGGCGUAAUUAAUAUCCGGCCGAAGGACGACCGAGGCCGUGACCACACUCUGGCGGCGGGGCGAUACACCGACCUGGCGACCAUGAUAAACCGCCAGACUCAGUCGACGCUGCACCGGUCCGAGAUCUCCAAGUCACCGUGGCAAGGAUGGAAGAGGCGCCGAGACCGACGCCAGCCCCGAGGCUGACGCCGACGCCGAGCCCGACACCCGAUCCCGAUACGGCGACUAACACGGCGAGACCGAGGCCGAUACACGAGGCAUCGGUGGAUGAAAGAUUGCAUCAUCCCACGCGGAACACACAGGACGACUUCCCGAAGGAUUCCAACAACGCGAGGGGUCUCAACAACGCUCAGGGCAUCGAGGCCAGCGAGGACUUCCCCAGCAUAUAGCUUAUGAGGCAUAUUUCUACUUUCGGCCAGACUAUACAUAAGGCCGAUACCACACCCUGGCGGCGGGGUAAUUCACCGACCUGGCGACCGUAAAAAUUUUUUAAACCAUUAUUUAUAUGGUUAUAAGGGCGAGGACGAAAACGACCCAUAGAGAGGGAUAGAAGGUGCCGAAAAACACGGGAGGGAUUGAGGGUUAAUUGAGUACCGGCCUGGUGAUGAUGAUUCUCGUGAGCCGUGUAAUCUACGUGGCACCAGCGUGCGCUUUAUGUGGUGAGUCUGAGUAGUCGUUGUUAAUGUACACAAAAUAAGUCUUUUCAUCAGAUAUCGUGAUUCUAGUCACGGCGAUAAGUCAAAAGAUUGCUAAAAAUCCACACGCUGAGAAAACACACGGAAACUAUGCACAAUACUUGUCACGUAUAUCGCGAACAGCCACCAUGAAACAAGAGCACGUACAAAGUGAAACGGGAGAGCAGCCGACGCGUGCGCGGGUUACGCUAGCGCGGUAUUCCACGAUCUGGGUUAAUCUAGCCCGAUAGAUGCUGUUACCUGACGCGAGCUUAAUAUGUAUUGAAUCCCGAACAGUAUUAAACACCAAUUUUCUUA